ACAGCAAAUGUAAUUACCAGAACGUGAUAAACACCACUUUGUUAGCAGCGACCAUGGGAGGCUUCUCCUGUUUCAGAUGUUUCUGACAACGAGCAGAAAGAGAACUCGAGGUCAAUCCUAAUGUCUGGAUACAGAAUCAGGUGCAUGAGGAAAGGCAGAAGAGGAAAUAAGGGACUUUUCAUUGAAUCCAGAGUUGGCUGUGGCCAAUAACUAAAUCAAAGUCCGGCUCUGCUCACAGCCAGACAAGUGUUUGCACCAAGGACAGAACUUGGCCCAGGGCUGCUGGUCCUUGACCCUAUGAAUCAUCCUUCCCAUCUACUGAACAAGACAAAGCACGGAUUUUCACAUGCAAGAACACCUAACACAUCUACAGACUUACUGAUUACAGAGGGUCUCAGUGGCUCCCAUACUUGCGUUGAACAACAGCUUGGGAACAUCCAUCAUUCAUUGUGGCUGCUCCUGGCCCAGAAAACCUUCCAGAUAUUCACUUUGAAUACAGUCCCCAGAAUGGCCAGCCCAGACUGUGGCCUAGGAUAAUCCAGGCAGGAAAAAUCCCGGUGUACCUGUCUUAGAUGUUUGCUUCUCCCUCCUGUUCCAAACCCAACAAAGAGCACUGAAAUAUUCCUGGUGGGUUACUCCAAGUGAGGUACCAGGAGGCAUUCCUGACCAUCUUCCAGUAGUAGCUAACUCAAUACCUCCACUCUCCAUGGUUGAAAAAUCAUGGGACAAAUAUGAUUAAUAACUAGGAAUGGCUGAAAAACAAACAAACAAACAACACCACUGCCACCAUUACCUGCUUCUUUCGGCUGCACACUGUAUUUUGCCUUGGGUUCAUAACAUAAUACACUCACCCUACAGGAACAUGGGCCUUGACUUUCCUCCUUGGAGGCCAGGGGUACCCUGGGAGCACUUUGCCUAUAGGAACCUGUGUUGAGGAAGGUGAUCUGGACAUGGACACAAAUGUUUUCAAGCAUGAGUUGCACCACACCUUUUCAGGUCCCAGCUCCAGUAACUGCUCAUGUCCCCACCAGCACUGGUGGGCCUUCUUUGCCCACCUUUCAGCCUUCCCAGUCUACAUGCAGUGGGAUAUCCUCCAUCUCCUUCUAAUGCUGGAGAGGCCAUGAGCAUGAGGACAGAAAAGCAGAGGAAUCACUGAGUUGCUCAUACAUGGGGAACCAAAGUCAGUCUUGGUCUUUUCAUAUCUUCUUGUUGCUGUUUGUGUCAUGACACUGCCAUCUCCAGCUGGCUUGGAGGAAGAGGUCUGUGUCUCUUUAAACUUUCCACUGCCUUCCCCAGGAGGUGUCUCUCACCCCUUCCUCUCCCAGACUUUGUGCUAACACAGAGGGAACAUGACCAGAUUGACAAAUGUCCCACAUCUCCAACCUGCCCUGAGACCACAGUGUUGACAUCUCACUUGUGCCACACUCUGUGGAUUUGGUCCCAUCCAGCUUGCUGCAUCUUUCUUAUCCAACUGGGAAACACAUUUCUUCUGCUCUUGGCUAUGAGUAAGAGCCUGGGUGCUUGCAAAAAAAUCUUUAUACAGCUGAGCAAACACUGAAGGAGAAGCCAGACCAAGAGAUGAAAUGAUCUGCUGUGGUUGGGGUCAGAUGCCUGCUCAUGUACAGAAGUAGGUAGCCUCAUGCCAUGAAAUCCGGAAUAAUUUAGUGCGUUUGGCAGAACUUCAUGAAAAUGUGGCUCUGGAUAAUUAAAAGCAGCCUGAAGCCAUGUGGGUCUCCACUCAUCGCUAGUUCCUGGAAGGAUUGCCUUUAGAGGCAGCAACCAUGCACACACACUCAUGGCUGCCCAGGCAUUUCCUUGCCUGGCAGGCUGGAAGCAGGAUAAUUUUGAGGAUAUCAUGUACCUCAGUGUGUAUCGUCAGAGCAGGCUGUGCUCUGGAGCAAUCUGCAUCCACUGAUGGUGAGCAAGAUGGUCCAGAUUUCUCCACCAGGCGGUAGGACACUGAUGUAUUCUUGCCUUGCCCUGCACCAAGCUUCGAGUUCAGAGGGUGGGGAAAAGCUCCCUUUUCAACCCCAAAUUGAGACUACUCACAACUGAUAUCAAACUGAAGACUUCAUGCACUGCUUCAGGUCAACCCUGCUACAUGACACUGUAUGACAUCAAAUGGUCAAGCUGCCUCAUAAUAAAGAAAAAGGGUGCCUCUAUCAGGCACUCUAGGAAUAGAGACAUUUCCCCAUUUCCUUCCUUGGAAAUACUCAGAACACCUUCUGGGUUCUACAAAUAAAGGAAUUAUCAUGUGCAAUGGAAA